AUUGAACGCUGGCGGAAUGCUUUACACAUGCAAGUCGAGCGGCAGCACGGGGGCAACCCUGGUGGCGAGCGGCGAACGGGUGAGUAAUACAUCGGAACAUGCCCAGUCGUGGGGGAUAACACUUCGAAAGAAGUGCUAAUACCGCAUACGUCCUGAGGGAGAAAGCGGGGGAUCUUCGGACCUCGCGCGAUUGGAGUGGCCGAUGUCAGAUUAGCUAGUUGGUGGGGUAAAGGCCUACCAAGGCAACGAUCUGUAGCUGGUCUGAGAGGAUGAUCAGCCACACUGGGACUGGGAAACGGCCCAGCACCCUACGGGAGGCAGCAGUGGGGAAUUUUGGACAAUGGGGGCAACCCUGAUCCAGCCAUUCCGCGUGAGUGAAGAGGGCCUUCGGGUUGUAAAGCUCUUUCGGCAGGAACGAAACGGCGAGCUCUAACAUAGCUUGCUAAUGACGGUACCUGAAGAAGAAGCACCGGCUAACUACGUGCCAGCAGCCGCCGUAACAC
rnacentral:rRNA from 1 species